rnacentral:rRNA from 1 species
UCAAGCGUGAGGUAAGGGCAAUUGGUGGAUGCCUUGGCGCAUACAGGCGAUGAAGGACGUGGCACGCUGCGAUAAGCGUGGGGGAGCUGUGAGCAGGCUUUGAUCCCACGAUUUCCGAAUGGGGAAACCCACCUAAUCCGAUUAUCCUGGUCGUGAGUAAUCACGGUUUGGGUAAUUGGAAAAAGGUAUCACCUAGCUGAAUAAAAUAGGCUUCGUGAAGCGAACCCGGCGAACUGAAACAUCUCAGUAACCGGAGGAAAAGACAUCAACCGAGAUUCCGUUAGUAGUGGCGAGCGAACGCGGACCAGGCCAGUGCUUCUAAUUCAACUAGCAGAACCAUCUGGAAAGAUGGGCCAUAGCGGGUGACAGCCCCGUAUGCGAAAGUGAUGUUAGAAGACUCGAGUAGGGCGGGACACGUGUAAUCCUGUCUGAACAUGGGGGGACCACCCUCCAAGCCUAAAUACUCGUAUGCGACCGAUAGCGAACUAGUACCGUGAGGGAAAGGUGAAAAGCACCCCGAUGAGGGGAGUGAAACAGUACCUGAAACCGAUUGCCUACAAGCAGUGGGAGCCUCUUUAUGGGGUGACCGCGUACCUCUUGCAUAAUGGGUCUGUGACUUAAUGUAUCAAGCAAGCUUAAGCCGAUAGGUGUAGGCGCAGCGAAAGCGAGUCUGAAUAGGGCGACUUAGUUUGAUGUAUUAGACCCGAAACCCGGCGAUCUAGGCAUGACCAGGAUGAAGGUGGGGUAACACCCACUGGAGGUCCGAACCGAUUAACGUUGAAAAGUUACCGGAUGAGUUGUGUUUAGGGGUGAAAGGCCAAUCAAGCCGGGAAAUAGCUGGUUCUCCGCGAAAACUAUUGAGGUAGUGCCUCGGAUGAACACCCUAGGGGGUAGAGCACUGGAUGGAUGCGGGGGUCGCGAGAUCUACCAAUUCUAACCAAACUCCGAAUACCUAGGAGUGAUAUCCGGGAGACAGACGGCGGGUGCUAAGGUCCGUCGUCAAAAGGGAAACAGCCCUGACCUACAGCUAAGGUCCCCAAGUCACGUCUAAGUGGGAAAGCAUGUGGGAAUCCCAAAACAACCAGGAGGUUGGCUUAGAAGCAGCCAUCCUUUAAAGAAAGCGUAACAGCUCACUGGUCUAAAUAAGGGUUCCUGCGGCGAAGAUGUAACGGGGCUCAAGACGUGCACCGAAGCUUAGGGUGUGGAUUUAUCCACGCGGUAGCGGAGCGUUCCGUAAGCCUGUGAAGCGAUCUGGUAAUGGGUCGUGGAGGUAUCGGAAGUGCGAAUGCAGACAUGAGUAGCGAUAAAAAGGGUGAGAUGCCCUUUCGCCGAAAGACCAAGGGUUCCUGCGCAAGGCUAAUCCGCGCAGGGUGAGCCGGCCCCUAAGACGAGCCCGAAGGGGGUAGUCGAUGGGAACCACGUUAAUAUUCGUGGGCCUGGUGGUGUGUGACGGAUGGUGUGUGUUGUAUGCUCUUAACGGAUUGAGCAUGCUUCGAAGCUGUCCCGGGAAAUAGCCCCACCGUAUAGACCGUACCCGAAACCGACACAGGUGGUCAGGUAGAGUAUACCAAGGCGCUUGAGAGAAGUGUCCUGAAGGAACUCGGCAAAUUGCCUCCGUACCUUCGGAAGAAGGAGGCCCUCACAUUGCGCAAGCAGUAUGAGGGGGCACAGGCCAGGGGGUAGCGACUGUUUAGCAAAAACACAGGGCUCUGCUAAGUCGGCUUCAAGACGACGUAUAGGGUCUGACGCCUGCCCGGUGCCUGAAGGUUAAGUGGAGGGGUGCAAGCUCCGAAAUGAAGCCCAGGUAAACGGCGGCCGUAACUAUAACGGUCCUAAGGUAGCGAAAUUCCUUGUCGGG